rnacentral:rRNA from 1 species
GACGAACGCUGGCGGCGUGCUUAACACAUGCAAGUCGAACGGAAAGGCCCUGCUUUUGUGGGGUGCUCGAGUGGCGAACGGGUGAGUAACACGUGAGCAACCUGCCCUUGACUUUGGGAUAACUUCAGGAAACUGGGGCUAAUACCGGAUAGGAGCUCCUGCUGCAUGGUGGGGGUUGGAAAGUUUCGGCGGUUGGGGAUGGACUCGCGGCUUAUCAGCUUGUUGGUGGGGUAGUGGCUUACCAAGGCUUUGACGGGUAGCCGGCCUGAGAGGGUGACCGGCCACAUUGGGACUGAGAUACGGCACAGACUCCUACGGGAGGCAGCAGUGGGGAAUAUUGCACAAUGGGCGGAAGCCUGAUGCAGCAACGCCGCGUGCGGGAUGACGGCCUUCGGGUUGUAAACCGCUUUCGCCUGUGACGAAGCGUGAGUGACGGUAAUGGGUAAAGAAGCACCGGCUAACUACGUG